CCUACGGGAGGCAGCAGUGGGGAAUAUUGGACAAUGGGGGAAACCCUGAUCCAGCCAUGCCGCGUGUGUGAAGAAGGCCUUUUGGUUGUAAAGCACUUUAAGCAGUGAAGAAGACUCUUCGGUUAAUACCCGGAGACGAUGACAUUAGCUGCAGAAUAAGCACCGGCUAACUCUGUGCCAGCAGCCGCGGUAAUACAGAGGGUGCAAGCGUUAAUCGGAAUUACUGGGCGUAAAGCGAGCGUAGGUGGCUUGAUAAGUCAGAUGUGAAAUCCCCGGGCUUAACCUGGGAACUGCAUCUGAAACUGUUAGGCUAGAGUAGGUGAGAGGGAAGUAGAAUUUCAGGUGUAGCGGUGAAAUGCGUAGAGAUCUGAAGGAAUGCCGAUGGCGAAGGCAGCUUCCUGGCAUCAUACUGACACUGAGGCUCGAAAGCGUGGGUAGCAAACAGGAUUAGAUACCCUGGUAGUCCACGCCGUAAACGAUGUCUACUAGUCGUUGGGUCCCUUGAGGACUUAGUGACGCAGCUAACGCAAUAAGUAGACCGCCUGGGGAGUACGGCCGCAAGGUUAAAACUCAAAUGAAUUGACGG
rnacentral:rRNA from 1 species